ACUAAGAAGAUCUCAAUUUUUGUAAAAGCGUGAUAAAAUAUCAUAGACUAUAGUUUUAAUCUCAGUUAUAAAAAAAACUGAGAUGGAAAGAUUUUUUAAUGUUGGUAAUUUAAAAAGUGAGAUUGUAACUUAAAAAAUAGAUCUCGUUUUUAAAAUACUGAGAUUGUUUAUAAAAGAAUAUAUCUCAUUUUAUAAAAACCAAGAUAAAAAGAACUUUUAAUCUUAGUCAUUAAAAACUGAGAUUGUAAGAAUAUAAAUAAUAAUAAUAAUAAUCUCAUUCUCGUUCGUCUAAAUAAACGUGUGGGAGUCUCAGGACCCAAUUCUCAUUCGUGUCAACCAGGUAUUUCCUCAUUGAAGACGAUUUUUGCGUCGAAGAAGCGGCCACUGUGCGAUUUCCUCUCUCUCUCUCGAUCACCACGUAUUUCAUCUCCCCUCUCUCUCUCUCGAUCGAUAGUUAUACACACGCACAAGCACAUAGGGCCAUCGUUCAAUAUCUAUGGGUUAAACCCUAAUUGUGUAUAGAAAAAUGUAUUGUUUGGUUUCUCUCUCUCUUCUCUCGAUUCGUCACUUUUUCGAUCUAAGGUUUAGGGUGAAAAUUCGGCUCCUGUUGUACAUUAAUUUCUCAUGCAUGUGCCUUUCUCUCUAUAUGGAUAUGUAGGGUUUUGAGGGUUUAACACUAGGUUUGGAUAAUUUUGUGUCGUUGUAUGAACCCUGAACUUCAUAUUCAAUGUGAGAGAAACAAGAGGUCUUGUAUGUUUGGGAACUUUCUUCUAAAGCAUUCAAUUUAUCAUGAAUUUCUGCCUCACCAUUCACUUUCCAUACACAAGGAGACAUAUGUGUUGUAUAGUCUCAUGAACAUAUUUAUGAAGGAAGAAGCCAUAGCCUAGGGUACUAUUGAUGCAAUUGGAUUGAUCACCGACUAUGUUUCAGGUUUGUGGAUCAAAAAGCUCUGUUUUAUAAUCGGCUUUUGGUCUGAUAUACUGUUAGAAGAAGAUUUACGAGUGUUGUAGGCUUAUAUUGUAUAAACUACUGGAUUGGCCUCCUAGAUUUUCUAGUUCAGUUAGUUUAAGGAGACAUGGUUUGGUGUAAAAGUGGUUCUUUGGUGGUUCUUGUUUGGUGAAAUUUGUUAUGGGUGGAUGUUUAGCUAAGGAUUUUGUUCAGAUGAAUAAUGUCUGCAUUUAGUACGAGACUUUUGCCUUGCCCUCUAAGUGUUUGUUUAAAUAACUCACCCAAAACUUUGUAUUGCUAUACAGAGAUCUUCUGCUUGUUAAUUACCUGGAAAGCUUGGGAAAUGUGAUUAAUAGUUGCGGUAUGGUCUUGGAGCUCUAACUUGUGAUGGUAGUUUUUCUUGUUUGCUGAGUAUUGAACUCAUUUUGAGCUCUUACUGUUUUUCUAAUUAGGUUUUUUUUUUUGGUUUGUUAGCACGUUUUCUUUUCUUAUAUGAAAUAGUAAUUCCCUGGAGUUUUAUGAUAGUCUAGAUCGUCGAUGGGCCUGGAGUGUAAAGCUAAUUAAUUUCUUGGUAAAUGGAGAAGAAUGAGUGAUGCUGAACAGGACGAGAAAUUUUGGGGUAAGAGAACUACGCUAUCAGAAUUUACAUCGGUCAUUCACGUUUAUACUUUUGGUAAUUUCCUCUUACUUCUAAUGCUUUCUUUAUGGUCAAAGCCACUUAAGUCACAUAGAUGUUCUAAUAUAUGAUAAAAUUGGUUUGCUAUACGCAAGGUUGGACUUAGGAUCUCUCAAAGUCUUCACAUUAUAGCAGUUCCAACUCUUUUGAGAGCUUUUCAAAUGAUUGUCCUAUCGUGGUCAAUUGCUCGGCCAAAACAGGCCUUCACGUGUUAGCAAACACUGCAUCGAGGCCAUGGGAUUCACUGUUGUUUACUUUUUGCCUGAUAGUGAAGAGGAUUUUGUAUCGCACACUGAGUUUUUGCAAUAUUUAGGGAAAAACAAGCGGGCUGAGAUAGCCAUAUUUGAUGAAUGGACGGCCUUAUUUUUGGUUCCCCCGUCAAAUUUUCUCUCUAAGGUGCUUAAUGUCACUGGCCCUGAAUGUCUUUAUGGGGUGGUUCUAAAGUCAACACAUCAUAACCCUAGUAGUACAUCCAUGUAGAUAUUAGCUCGUAUCUGCUACUUGAAUUCGAAGAUGAGGUGACCAUCACAAACUAAAGAUUUCUUAUACUGGUGGAGGACAAAAUGAAGGUCUACUACAGGUUUUGGACUUCAUGCCACAAUUUCUGUUUUGUCCCUUGUAGAAAGCAAUCGUUGUGAUAAUACCUUAAGGCCAUUUGGAUCAUAUUUGUUGAGAGUGGAAAAAAGGGAUAGAUAUAUAGUUUGCUGAUACAGUUUGCUGAUACAUUUUCUUUUUCCUCUACAUAUUCUAACAUAUCUGGGCAGAGGUGCAGGAAACAAGCCCUUCAUUUGUAUAAAGAACUUCCCUACAUAUCUUUUCCCUACACAUCUAACCAAAAAAUGCCUUUUAAUGUGCAAGUGAGAUUGCGUAUGAUUUUAGAAGUUGGAUGUUACUAAACCUGCUAUCUAUUCUAAGCUAAGCAUCAUAGAUUCUUUCAUAUUCUGUUUUGUUAUAUGUUGAUAACUUUCUUUUAGUCCUUGUCAGAACAUAGACUUCGAAGUUCAUUGAUCCAUUUCUUAUUGUUUGUUAUUAUUCAGGCAAAUGCAGUAGAUGCCCUUUUGAAGGGAGCUAGUUGUAAGGAUUGUUUGGAGUGAUUGCGCACAUGGGCGUGUCACCCGGAUUAUAUUACUUCUUAGGGUUGUUAUUUUGUAUGUUAUUUUUCAGUUUUCAUUGUAUAGUUUCUACUCUCUUUGUUAGGUUGUGGUUGUACCAAAUGUUUCUAAUUCAAAAUGUACGAUCAAUUUGUCAGCUAAUAUAUAUUUUUGAUUUA